rnacentral:misc_RNA from 1 species
CGCACCUUGCGCUCCUUGGUAUUCCGAGGAGCAUGCCUGUUUGAGUGUCAUUAAAUUAAAUCAAACCUUUAUUCUGUUAAAUGUUUAAAUGGUUUGGAUAGUGGGGGUUUGCCGGCUCCUCAAAAGUCAGCUCCCCUUAAAAGCAUUAGCAGAAACUCGUUGCUGGCCAUUCAGGUGUGAUAAUUAUCUACGCCGUUCUUGACCAUGCUAUGUUGAAGAGUUUUGCUUCCAACAGUCCUCAGGGACAACUCUUGAAAAAUUUGACCUCAAAUCAGGUAGGAUUACCCGCUGAACUUAA